GGGAAACGAGGAUGGGGCUGAGGAGAGAAGCCGGCCUGAGUCCUCCUGGGGCAAGUAGGCUCA
rfam:Equus caballus chromosome X, whole genome shotgun sequence.